AUUUAGCUGACGAGUCGCAAAUAGGAAGAAUUGCGCGUCCUGAAU
rfam:Schistosoma curassoni strain Dakar, Senegal genome assembly, scaffold: SCTD_scaffold0016167